rnacentral:misc_RNA from 1 species
UCCGGUUUGUCACCGGCAGUCUCAUUAGAGUGCCCAACUGAAUGUAGCAACUAAUGACAAGGGUUGCGCUCGUUGCGGGACUUAACCCAACAUCUCACGACACGAGCUGACGACAGCCAUGCAGCACCUGUGUAAAGGUUCCCUUUCGGGCACUCCCCGAUCUCUCGGGGAUUCCUUCCAUGUCAAGGGUAGGUAAGGUUUUUCGCGUUGCAUCGAAUUAAUCCACAUCAUCCACCGCUUGUGCGGGUCCCCGUCAAUUCCUUUGAGUUUUAAUCUUGCGACCGUAGUCCCCAGGCGGAGUGCUUAACGCGUUAGCUUCGACAGCGAGGGGGUCAAAAUCCCCCACCGCCUAGCACUCAUCGUUUACGGCGUGGACUAC